rnacentral:lncRNA from 1 species
AUCACUUACAGGAAGGAGGAGGAAACAGCAGGCAGGACCUCAGCUCCACAAACGCUCAACAGAGAGAGCAACGCUGUACAGAACAAACGCACUGCAUCGUGGGAUUGCUCGGCUCAAGCUGCGGUCAGCGAGUUCGCCCUUGAGGCACGGAACCGGAUGCGGAUGCGUCCUGCGCAGCGUCGGCAGCGAUGACCUUGUCCUGGACAGCGCUGGAGUAGUGAAGUGCGAUGACGGUCAAAGGAAUCACAGUGCAUCAGAGGAGCCGUCCCGGGGGUCACGUCCCGCCCACACAUCCCAGUAAUGGUGCCUGGAAAGUGGACGCAUCCAAAAGAGCUGUGAGGUUCCAGUUGCCGUGGAGACAGAGGGAAGCUGUGACAGGUGACCUUGGAGUCAGGUGAGAUGAGCAGAUGAAGAAAACUGAAAUGAAUACAACUGAGGAACGUGGGCAACCUUGAGUUGGGUGGGACAAAUGAGUCCAGGAAAGACGUCCGUGUCCAUCUGCUGGGGACAGCGAGCAAAACGCGUCUAAAGUCACGUUCCUGAUCAGUCCGUGAUUAGUUUCACCACCGUGUGUCAUGGGGCGGCUCCUCCUUCCAGCGUCCUGCUUCCAGGAAGCGCUAACACACCCAUCUGUAGGACAAUGAGUGACACAGCAGGAGGAAGUAGACGUGUC